UAAAGAGUUAACUGACGAAAAGUUUGUUUAGGAUAGAAGUGAAUUCGAAAUAGUACGGUCGCAACGAACUUGGUCGGGAAUCGAGUCUUCACACCUGACUGAAGGUUUUCGUUCUUUACCACGCAGACCGAGUUCAGGAAUGAAAAUUAUUUUUUGCUUGAAUCCCUCUUAGCUUUGGAUGCGACUGAUAGAAAAGAACCGGGUCUGAUAUGGCGUUUUCCGUUAGUUUUUUAAUAGUUUUAGGCCUGAUAUGUCGAAACGUCGGCCUCACUUACUCCAAAUCGCAACUGAUCCGGCUGGACGAAGACAACUGGAGCGAUAUGCUCACCGGAGAAUGGUUGGUCGAAUUCUACGCGCCUUGGUGCCCGGCUUGUAAAGCGCUUCAACCACUCUGGGAAGAAUUUUCCACCUGGAGUAAAGAUCUGGGUGUCUCCGUCGCCCAAGUCGACAUUACCAACUCCCCUGGACUUAGCGGAAGAUUUAUGGUAACUGCGCUUCCGACGAUAUUCCAUGUAAUUAAUGGAGAAUUCAGGCGUUAUACAGGCAGUAGAGAUCGAGAGUCAUUUAUGUCUUUUGUCGAAGACCAAAAAUGGAAAACGGUUGAGCCGAUUUCAAAUUGGAAGUACCCUUCUUCUGUUCAAAUGUCAAUAGUCGCUUAUUUCUUCAAAUUAUCUCAAGGUCUAAGAUUGAUACACAAUACACUAACUAUAGAAUACGGUUUACCGCAAUGGGGCUCAUACUUGAUUUUUGCAUUAGUGACAAUUUUUCUGGGCGCUCUUCUCGGCAUGGUGUGGUUCGCUGCUAUUAUGUCUCUCUUCUUACACCCGAUGAGUUCUUUUCUAAUGCCGGUCUUAGUGCUUCUGAUGCUAGUCAUCUUGCUCUACACUACAUGCUUCAUGUUUAUGAUGAUACUCUUGCUUAUAUUGACGUCGUUCAUUAUUUUUGUGGUGACAUUCUUCAUUAUCUUCCUUCUGGUAUUCGAAAAGGCCUUAAUGUUAUUUUAGCUGUAUUAUUAUGGUUUGUUUAAUUGAUUACAUAUGGCCUCCAAAAUUACCGCAAAAGUCACCAAAAGGUAAAUCUGAAAAAGGCGGCGGUGACGAUGUGGCUGAGGAAUCGGAUGAAGCCGAUGAAGAGAUCCCAGAAGAAGAUCUCAUCGAUGAACAAGCGACUGAAACUAACGCUAUUAGGAAGCGUAAAGCAAGAAAAGCAGAUUAACUCAACAAAAUAAACAAAUUAUAUCCAUUAAAAAAUUUAGCAUUCCAGUAAGUGGUAAAAGGAGCGAAUAUUACAAUAAAUUUUCAUAUUUCAUCAGCCAAUUUGUGGCUUAUGUACUUUAAAUGUGAAAUAUUUGAAAUGUGUGUUUUUCUUUCAACAAAGUUUUUAUUUUGUUUCCAUGUCUUGCAGGUACUCAUUUACCUCUCCUUGUAAGUAAUAACACCAACUGAUAAAUAAUUAAGAGUGUAUAAAUAUAAAAUAGGUUAUAACUAAAGAGCGAUUAUGAAAAUAUUAAACUCGUGGAAUCUUGUGUUUUAAAGUUUGCAUUUAAAACAUUCGUUUGUCUAUAAGAAGAUUGUAUGCUUAGAUGUAUAUUGAGGCUAAUUUGAACAAACUGUGAGCUAGAGAAAAUCUGCUCUGUUUUAUUGCGUAUAAUUUUUAUUUACAAAGAAAAAAAAAGAAGGCUUUAUGUGUGCUUUUAUAUUAAUUUUUUAUACAUAACUUUGUUGUGCUAUUAUUUAUAAAACAUUUUCCUCUUAUCUGAGUGAGAGAUUCAUUUAGUUUAUUAGGUUAGAAUGAAAUAGUAACAUUAAUAGAAAUUGUAUAAAGGGCAGUUCGAACAAUAAGCAUAGUGUUACAAUAAACUAAACUAUAAUUUUAUACACAAAAUAUAAAAUAAUUAUUUAUUCACAAUUAUGUUUGUACAAAGUCCAAUGUUCAUACAUUGUAACAAAUAAACUUUUUGAGCACUAGUUUAUGAAAAAUCCA
rnacentral:misc_RNA from 1 species